rnacentral:rRNA from 1 species
AUUGAACGCUGGCGGCGUGCUUAACACAUGCAAGUCGAUCGGUAACAGGUGUAGCAAUACAUGCUGACGAGAGGCGGACGGGUGAGUAAUGCUUGGGAAUCUGCCUAUUAGUGGGGGACAACCCGGGGAAACUCGGGCUAAUACCGCAUACGCUCUACGGAGGAAAGCCGGGGACCGCAAGGCCUGGCGCUAAUAGAUGAGCCCAAGUCGGAUUAGCUAGUUGGUAGGAACGCCUACCAAGGCGACAAUCCGUAGCUGGUCUGAGAGAACGACCAGCCACACCGGAACUGAGACACGGUCCGGACUCCGUACGGGAGGCAGCAGUGGGGAA